rnacentral:rRNA from 1 species
UACGGAGGGAGCUAGCGUUGUUCGGAAUUACUGGGCGUAAAGCGCGCGUAGGCGGUUUGUCGCGUCGAAUGUGAAAACCCGGGGCUCAACCCCGGGCCUGCAUUCGAUACGGGCAGACUAGAGUUCGGUAGGGGAGUCUGGAAUUCCUGGUGUAGCGGUGAAAUGCGCAGAUAUCAGGAGGAACACCGGUGGCGAAGGCGGUUCUCUGGGCAUUACCUGACGCUGAGGAGCGAAAGUGUGGGGAGCGAACAGG